GGAGAAGCAACAUGAUGAGCAUUAUCUGUUGGAGCCCUACAAAGGUAUAAAAGGUGUGUUUUUGUGUGAGUGUGUGCGUUUGUGUGUGCGUGUGCUCACUGAAGACAUGCAUGUAUUUGAGUGGAGCUAGGGACUCAAGUACCUUUUAUCUAGGGCUAUGAUAUUCAAACUGAUAAGAUCUGAUGGCUUC
rnacentral:snoRNA from 2 species